UACCUACUCCGGGCGCUCGCCGACGAUCUGCUGCUGCAGGUGGCCGCGAAGAAGACCGUGGCGGAGAUUUGGAGCAGCCUGAAGGCCCGGUUCGUCGGGGCCGAUCGCGUGCGUGCGGCGCGGCUGGGCACAUUGCGCGGGGAGUUCGAGCUCCUGCGCAUGGCGAGCGACGAGUCGCUGGACGCUUUCGCCGGGAAGAUCAUCGGCAUGGCGGCGCGCUACGCCGGGCUGGGAGCGACCCUCGACGACGCGGCGAUGGUGAAGAAGCUCCUGGACUGCGUCCCGGAUCGCCUGUACGCGGCGGUCGCCGGAAUAGAGCAGUUAUGCGACUUGUCGACGCUGCUGUUCGAGGACGCGCUGGGGCGCCUGAAGGCGUUCGACGAGCGGCUGCGUCGGCGCUGGCAGGCGGGCAGCGAGCGAGCAGGCGAUGAGCUACUGUGCACGGCGGCUCAAUGGCGGGCGCGGGAGCAGCGGCGAGGCGGAGCGCGGGACGACGACGACGACCGGCGGGGACGGUGC
rnacentral:rRNA from 1 species